rnacentral:rRNA from 2 species
GCUUGCAUCAUGAUUUACAUUUGAGUGAGUGGCGAACUGGUGAGUAACACGUGGGAAACCUGCCCAGAAGCGGGGGAUAACACCUGGAAACAGAUGCUAAUACCGCAUAACAACUUGGACCGCAUGGUCCGAGCUUGAAAGAUGGCUUCGGCUAUCACUUUUGGAUGGUCCCGCGGCGUAUUAGCUAGAUGGUGGGGUAACGGCUCACCAUGGCAAUGAUACGUAGCCGACCUGAGAGGGUAAUCGGCCACAUUGGGACUGAGACACGGCCCAAACUCCUACGGGAGGCAGCAGUAGGGAAUCUUCCACAAUGGACGAAAGUCUGAUGGAGCAACGCCGCGUGAGUGAAGAAGGGUUUCGGCUCGUAAAACUCUGUUGUUAAAGAAGAACAUAUCUGAGAGUAACUGUUCAGGUAUUGACGGUAUUUAACCAGAAAGCCACGGCUAACUACGUGCCAGCAGCCGCGGUAAUACGUAGGUGGCAAGCGUUGUCCGGAUUUAUUGGGCGUAAAGCGAGCGCAGGCGGUUUUUUAAGUCUGAUGUGAAAGCCUUCGGCUCAACCGAAGAAGUGCAUCGGAAACUGGGAAACUGGAGUGCAGAAGAGGACAGUGGAACUCCAUGUGUAGCGGUGAAAUGCGUAGAUAUAUGGAAGAACACCAGUGGCGAAGGCGGCUGUCUGGUCUGUAACUGACGCUGAGGCUCGAAAGUAUGGGUAGCAAACAGGAUUAGAUACCCUGGUAGUCCAUACCGUAAACGAUGAAUGCUAAGUGUUGGAGGGUUUCCGCCCUUCAGUGCUGCAGCUAACGCAUUAAGCAUUCCGCCUGGGGAGUACGGCCGCAAGGCUGAAACUCAAAAGGAAUUGACGGGGGGCCCGCACAAGCGGUGGAACAUGUGGUUUAAUUC